rnacentral:ncRNA from 1 species
CUUUGCCUCCGAAUUAUUGGUGUUACCUGUUUCAAAAUGGCUUCGAAACCGGUAAUGAAAAGGGAAUCAGGUGUAAAUCCUGAACAGACCCGCUGCUGUAAGCUCCGCUUACGUGCUGAACAUAUCACCUUUUGCCACUGAACAUACUGUUCGGGAAGGCGUUCAGACACCGGAGUAAGUCAGAAGACCUGCCCAUAAUUUAAAAAUAGU